UACGGAGGGUGCAAGCGUUAAUCGGAAUUACUGGGCGUAAAGCGUGCGCAGGCGGUUUGUUAAGUCCGUUGUGAAAGCCCCGAGCUCAACUUGGGAAUUGCAGUGGAUACUGGCAGGCUGGAGUACGGUAGAGGAAGGUGGAAUUCCCGGUGUAGCAGUGAAAUGCGUAGAGAUCAUGAGGAAGACCAGUGGCGAAGGCGGGUCUCUGGACAGUUCCUGACACUGAGACACGAAGGCCAGGGGAGCAAACGGG
rnacentral:rRNA from 1 species